rnacentral:lncRNA from 1 species
GUGCACUUGUUUACAUUGUUCAUACAUUACUCAUACACAUACCAAGCAUUAUAAGCAAUCAAAUCACAUAGGGUAUACAUAAAAUGACAUGUGAUCAUGGUAUGAUGCUUAUGAGUGAGUACGAUGAUGCUCAUGUUGAUGCCAUGCUCAAGCUUAAAAUGCAAGGCUAACACUAUAAGUGUUACAGCCCUCCCCCCUUAUGAUGAGGACAUCGCCACGCUGGAUACGUUGACAUCAUCGUCUUUUCCGAGUUGCAAUUCAUCUCCAACUAAGCUACCACGUCACUCUUAGAUUAAGCAAACACGUCGUCAGUAUUUUGAUCAUAACUUCUUCAUACGACAUCGAAAGAGGGUGAUCUUGGACUUGUUGGAAAGGGAACAACGACGCCGUCGUUUUGGAUCAGGUCCCAGCUCCAGAUCCUUCGUGGAUUAAUUGUUAAGUCCACAACAAGGUUCUGCGUCACCUAUUUUCGGCCAAGUUGCUGAAUUUCUGUAGACCACAUCUGACCUCAGUUGCAGUUGCCAAUUUUUGUGGUUACAUCUUUUGUGAUCCUUGUUCAGAGAAAAAUAUAAAAAAAUAGUGAAAAAAUAUAAAAUCUUGAUUCCUACUAGUGUCUGUUGGGAAAAUCCAGGAAAAAUCAGGAUAAAAGAAAAAUCUGCUCUAUUUCUUGUUUGCUGAGUUCCUUCCAUCAUACUUUGUUUCAUCUUGUUGCGCU